CCCGACCCGCCUUAUGUUUCUCCAAAUCGGGGGUAUCAUGCAAUUUUUUAUUACAAAUAGUAUAAAAGAUAUUCUGGUACCCCUCGAUACUUCCGGUGCGAAUACCUAUUAAACUUACUACUUCACGAAUUUCAACAUGAGUUGUGCUUCUGUACUUUCCGGAAAAAAAAAUCUCAUGACUUUUAAAGCAGAUCAAAGGCUGUGAUUAAAAGCUCAAAUCCUACCUAAGACCCAUCUGAUACCCACAAGCUCAUAACCUUGAUACCCAGGCAGCCCAGUUGACAUAAGCACUUCUCUCCCGCAGGAACCCAGUUCCCCACGGAGACCUCUCUCCUCGCGUCUCCAUGGCUGCAGCCACAGUGAACACAUCAACGAGGAUGUUGCGUCGAGUUCAUCGAUGAUGCUGAGCGAACCCCUGCCGUGAUUUAUCCGAGUUUUCUGGAUGCAAAGUUCCUCGAGGAGGAUUCUCCAGAGCGUGUGAGUCUAGUAGAUGUUUGACAGGGGGUAGUCCCUGCUCGCCUUCGGCUGACCAGGAAAUGACGGAGACUGAUUGGGGACCGGGGAGACGAGGAUUUACGGCUGUAGCUUCAGGACGGCAGGAGAAACGGCCUGGUCCCGGUGGCUCAGUGGCUACGCAGUUGGACGGAGAGGUGCCUUCUGGCCUCUGGGUGUGAACGAGAAUAGAGGAGAUCGUGGGGAAGAAAGGGUCGUGGGCUUGUGGGGAAGACACGGGUCGGGAUUGGAUCGGGACUAUGGAUAUGGGCUGGAUCUAGGCCCUCGUUUGCCAGUACCUAAUUACCGUCCCUGCCUUGGGAUUCAUGCAGAAUUUUUUUCCGAAAAGCACAGAAGCACUUGCCCACUUGCCUUUCAACAUUCCAUGCUUCAUACGCGUAAUAUCUAGACAAUUCCUUAUGCGCAAUAAUAAAAAACUUGACAAUUCCCGUGUACCAACCAAACGACUAUCUUUACUAUUCCUUAAUUUUUAGUUGCGUUAGUCCAUCGUACGUCCUCCACACCGGCCGUCUCCUAAACAAUCGCUGCAAACAGAAGACCCGACCCACGGCCCACGUCUCGCACGCACCCGGAAAUAAAACUUCUAAACCGCCGCCGCCGCAAUGCGGGCGUGCCGUACUGGGUCUGCCGUCGCCCGCCGGCCCCUCGGUCCUGCGCCCUCGCCGUCGCCAAGCACACCUCCGGCAAUCGCCAACUCCCUGGCAGCCUGCAGCCCUCCCCCUCCACCUUGCUGCACGCGCGGCCGCCAAGACGGUGCCGCCGACGACCGUUCCGCUCCCAUCGCCACCCGGCUUCACCAUUAUCCUUUCCUAGCGAAUCCAUCUUCCCCCCAAGCCUCUAGGCCUGCAGCACCAAUCACUCCGGAUGACACAGAAACAUGAAGAAAACAAAGGGAAAGGAAGUGGCCAGGGAGGAGCAACAGGAAGGAGCAGCAGGUAUUCCCCUCCCCAUCACAAUCCCCUCUCCACUAGCCAUCGCCAUCUCCGUUGCUCUGGCGCCGCCCCCACCUCCUACUCUAGAGCCCACAGCCCCCCAAAUCCGGCGCCGCUCCACCCCAUUUGCUCCACCCAACAACUAAGGUACUGGAUCAUCUGUCGAAAAGUUUAUUCAUAUUCCUUUUGGUUCCAUAGAAAUGAUACAAUAAAAUUUUGGAAGCCGGUGAAACACAACAAGCAAAUAAUACAAAUCUAAUUUUGAACAUUGACAGCAUAAAUAAGCUAUCCCGUAUUUUUUGGAUAAUUAUUUGGACUUGAAAAACUAUAUUAUUUAAAUAGUUAUAUAGCCCUAAAGGCAUUUAUAGGGCAAAUGUAUUUUUAUAUAUUUUAUUUUGAGGGAAAUUACUCCCAAAAGUUGUAUCAUGAUAAAACAUGAUUUUACAAAUUUUCUGGAAUUUAUUUGGGCCAAUUUGGAGUUCAAAAUCAAAAGAUGUCAAAGAAAUAAGAAAAAGGGAAAAAAGAAAAGGCUAAAAGAAAAAAAAGGGAAGAAACAGGUCCGGCCCGGCCAAAUGGGCCGGACCGGCCCAGAUCCGACCGCGCCCGAACCGGCCCAGCCGC
rnacentral:lncRNA from 1 species